CCUACGGGGGGCACCAGUGGGGAAUAUUGCACAAUGGGCGCAAGCCUGAUGCAGCCAUGCCGCGUGUGUGAAGAAGGCCUUCGGGUUGUAAAGCACUUUCAGCGGGGAGGAAGGCGCCAAGGUUAAUAACCUUGGCGAUUGACGUUACCCGCAGAAGAAGCACCGGCUAACUCCGUGCCAGCAGCCGCGGUAAUACGGAGGGUGCAAGCGUUAAUCGGAAUUACUGGGCGUAAAGCGCACGCAGGCGGUCUGUCAAGUCGGAUGUGAAAUCCCCGGGCUCAACCUGGGAACUGCAUUCGAAACUGGCAGGCUAGAGUCUUGUAGAGGGGGGUAGAAUUCCAGGUGUAGCGGUGAAAUGCGUAGAGAUCUGGAGGAAUACCGGUGGCGAAGGCGGCCCCCUGGACAAGGACUGACGCUCAGGUGCGAAAGCGUGGGGAGCAAACAGGAUUAGAUACCCCUGUAGUC
rnacentral:rRNA from 1 species